rnacentral:lncRNA from 1 species
CUCUCAAAUCAUCAAAUUAAGAAGAAAAUUGAAGGUCAAUCGAAUGCAUGUGAUCAAUUCCUUAGUCAUCUAAGGGUUUCCCAUCAUGGGGAGCGUGAUCUUGAUGAAAAGAUAGUAUAGGAAUCAUGUCAAGACGGACUCAAGCAUAAAAGGAUAACGGGUCAAGAAAAGGGCGAGGAAUCGGAUACGAGCACGGACGCAUAAGGUAAGUGAUUUCCGUAAUCACUUCUUAAUUCAAGUAAGUAAUUAAGUGUUGUGAUUAAUUAAACAUGAUGUUUGAGGUCAAAUAUGUGUUAAAGUCUUUCGUCGUAAACGAUGGAUUAAAGUUGACCAAAAUGCCCUUGAUGGGUAUUUUGGGGUAAACGAUCUUAAAAAUAGUUUAGAAACAAGUUAUUCGAUUAGUGUAAUGUUUUGGACAAGUAUGGAUGUGGGGAUGAUGGUUUGGUUAGUCAUAGACCAAUUAAUACGCGAAUAC